rnacentral:sRNA from 1 species
AGUCUGUCAUAUGCCACAGUGGUGUUUUCAUCCUCCCUGUGAGUCUACCAGGGAAACACUACUGAGCAAAGCAAGCCCAGAGAAUGAGAAACCAUGUGAUUCCUAUCCUUUUUUUCCCCAUGCAAAUGGACUAAAUAGGUGAUCACCUUCAACUAUGGCCUUGUGUUAGGAUGAGUUGUGAAUGCAGCAAGAGAAAAAGAAGGGAGACCAGUUUAACUGGUUUCAAGGUUUGCAGCCCUGAAGUGAACAAGGAUGGAGGAUUGGAUUAGGAUGUUAACAAUGGAGGUGACAUGCCCCCAGAUGAAACCAGAGGCCGCCAACAUUGAAAAGGUGAUGGAAGCACAAAAACACUUCUAAAAACAGUAAAGACGUUGGUAACUAAGAAGUUUUAAUUGUAACCUUCUGCUCAAAAAA